GCCGGCGUUGGGCGAGGGCCGCGCCGAAUCCGUCCAGGGUCUGGGAGAGCAGGUCGCGUUCCCGUGCGCCGGAACGUACCCGGUGGACGGUG
rnacentral:tRNA from 1 species